rnacentral:tRNA from 1 species
GCCCGGGUGGCGAAAUGGUAGACGCAAGGGACUUAAAAUCCCUCGAGGGAUGACCUCAUACCGGUUCGAGUCCGGUCCCGGGCACCA